AUACGCGAGAAACCUUACCAGGGCUUAAAUGUAGUGGGACAGGUCUAGAGAUAGACCCUUCUUCGGACUCAUUACAAGGUGCUGCAUGGCUGUCG
rnacentral:rRNA from 1 species